UAUAAAAAAUAUAGUUUUGUUUGCAAAAUUAGUAUAUUAUAUAUAAUAAAUAUGUAUUGUUUUACUAAAAAUGUUAUAUUUUAUUAGUCGUGUUCUUGUCGUGUCCGUGUUCUUAUAUUUUGAACUUUGCCGAGUCGCCGUGUCCGAGUUGUGUCGUGUCCUGUGUCUCGUGUCCGUAUUCGUGACAUAUAGAUCAGAAUAAAAAAUUAAAUAAGAAGAAAUGGAGAGAUUAAGUUAU
rnacentral:lncRNA from 1 species